CGGAGGGUGCAAGCGUUAUCCGGAUUCACUGGGUUUAAAGGGUGCGUAGGUGGGUAAGUAAGUCAGUGGUGAAAUCUCCGGGCUUAACCCGGAAACUGCCAUUGAUACUAUUUGUCUUGAAUACUGUGGAGGUCAGCGGAAUAUGUCAUGUAGCGGUGAAAUGCUUAGAUAUGACAUAGAACACCAAUCGCGAAGGCAGCUGGCUACACAAAUAUUCGACACUGAGGCACGAAAGCGUGGGGAUCAAACAGGAUUAGAUACCCUGGUAGUCCACGCCCUAAACUAUGGAUAACUCGACAUUUGCGAUAAACUGCAAGUGUCUGAGCGAAAGCAUUAAGUAAUCCCACCUGGGAAGUACGAUCGCAAGAUUG
rnacentral:rRNA from 1 species